rnacentral:rRNA from 1 species
AGUGAACGCUGGCGGUAGGCCUAACACAUGCAAGUCGAACGGCAGCACAGUAAGAGCUUGCUCUUACGGGUGGCGAGUGGCGGACGGGUGAGGAAUACAUCGGAAUCUACUUUUUCGUGGGGGAUAACGUAGGGAAACUUACGCUAAUACCGCAUACGACCUACGGGUGAAAGCAGGGGAUCUUCGGACCUUGCGCGAUUGAAUGAGCCGAUGUCGGAUUAGCUAGUUGGCGGGGUAAAGGCCCACCAAGGCGACGAUCCGUAGCUGGUCUGAGAGGAUGAGCAGCCAGCGUGGAAAUGCGACCGGGUCGAGCGUGCUACGGGAGCCCGCAGUGGGGCGUAGGGGACAAAGGGCGGAGGCAUGAACAAGACAUUCCGCGUGGGUGAAAAAGGCCUUCGGGUUUUAAGGCCCUUUUGUUGGGAAAGAAAAGCAGCAGGUUAACACCCCGCUGUUCUGACGGUACCUAACGAAUAAAAGCCGGCUCACUUCGUG